UGUUAUUUAUUGUUAUUAUUAAUGUUAAAAAUGGAAGUAAAAAUGAUGGUGUUUAAAUUAUUGCUAAUAAUUUCCAUUGUGAUUACUGUUGGGACUUCAGAAAAGCGGUAUCGAGUUUGUGGAUACGCAUUGGCUGAACUAGUGGCGAAUGUUUGUGACAAGUAUCAUCCGCAAAAGAGAAGUAUUUAUGACCACAAUUUCAUGGAAAAUAUGAAUUCAGAAAAUAAAUAUAAUUCUCUGAUUCGUCACCGUAGACAAGGUAUUGCGGAUACGUGUUGUUACAAUGAAUGUACCCUACAAGAUAUUCAGGAGUAUUGCAAGUGAAAUUGAUUUGUGUUAACAUAUUAUUAUAAGAUUAACCUAAAAAAGGCGUAUCUCCGUGAUUAAUAAAAGUAAAGAUGCAAAAUUUGGUGGAUUUAUUCAGAAUUAAAUACUGAAUUUAAUGCAUCAACCCGUUUGUUAAAGUCUUUAUUAGUUCUUGAGAAAUAAAAUCUCAAAGAUUAUUAAAAAACUUGAUUUGAGUUGACGUAUAAGUAUAAAUUUAAAACUUUGUAUCUUAGAGAUUAAUGAAAGUGAAGAUACUAAAUUAUACAUAUUUAUUUAGAAUUACAUGGUGAAUUUAAUGCAUCAACCCGUUUGUUGGUAUCUCAAUUUGUUCUUGAGAAAUAACUCCCAAAAGAUGAUCGAAAAAAUUGAUUUGUGUUAACGUAUUAUUACAAGAUUAACCUAAAAAAUGCGUAUCUGCGUGAUUAAUAAAGGUGAAGAUGCAAAAUUUGGUGGAUUUAUUCAGAAUUAAAUAGUGAAUUUAAUGCAUCAACCCGUUUGUUAAAGUAUUUAUUAGUUCUUGAGAAAUAAAAUCCCAAAGAUUAUUAAAAAACUUGAUUUGAGUUGACGUAUAAGUAUAAAUUUAAAACUUUGUAUCUUAGAGAUUAAUAAAAGUGAAGAUACCAAAUUAUACUUAUUUAUUUAGAAUUACAUGGUGAAUUUAAUGCAUCAACCCGUUUUUUGUUGUCUCAAUUUGUUCUUGAGAAAUAAAUUCCAAAAGAUGAUCGAAAAAAUUGAUUUGUCUUAACGAAUUAUUACAAGAUUAACCUAAAAAAUGCGUAUCUGCGUGAUUAAUAAAAGUGAAGAUGCAAAAUUUGGUACAUUUAUUCAGAAUUAAAUAGUGAAUUUAAUGCAUCAAUCCGUUUGUUAAAGUCUCUAUUAGUUCUUGAGAAAUAAAAUCCCAAAGAUUAUUAAAAAACUUGAUUUGAGUUGACGUAUAAGUAUAAAUUUAAAACUUUGUAUCUUAGAGAUUAAUAAAAGUGAAGAUACCAAAUUAUACAUAUUUAUUUAGAAUUACAUGGUGAAUUUAAUGCAUCAACCCGUUUGUUGCUAUCUCAAUUUGUUCUUGAGAAAUAAAUUCCAAAAGAUGAUCGAAAAAAUUGAUUUGUGUUAACGUAUUAUUACAAGAUUAACCUAAAAAAUGCGUAUCUCCGUGAUUAAUAAAAGUGAAGAUGCAAAAUUUGGUGGAUUUAUUCAGAAUUAAAUAGUGAAUUUAAUGCAUCAACCCGUUUGUUAAAGUCUUUAUUAGUUCUUGAGAAAUAAAAUCUCAAAGAUUAUUAAAAAACUUGAUUUGAGUUGACGUAUAAGUAUAAAUUUAAAACUUUGUAUCUUAGAGAUUAAUAAAAGUGAAGAUACCAAAUUAUACAUAUUUAUUUAGAAUUACAUGGUGAAUUUAAUGCAUCAACCCGUUUGUUGCUAUCUCAAUUUGUUCUUGAGAAAUAAAUUCCAAAAGAUGAUCGAAAAAAUUGAUUUGUGUUAACGUAUUAUUACAAGAUUAACCUAAAAAAUGCGUAUCUCCGUGAUUAAUAAAAGUGAAGAUGCAAAAUUUGGUGGAUUUAUUCAGAAUUAAAUAGUGAAUUUAAUGCAUCAACCCGUUUGUUAAAGUCUUUAUUAGUUCUUGAGAAAUAAAAUCCCAAAGAUUAUUAAAAAACUUGAUUUGAGUUGACGUAUAAGUAUAAAUUUAAAACUUUGUAUCUUAGAGAUUAAUAAAAGUGAAGAUACCAAAUUAUACAAAUUUAUUUAGAAUUACAUGGUGAAUUUAAUGCAUCAACCC
rnacentral:lncRNA from 1 species